AUUGAACGCUGGCGGCAGGCCUAACACAUGCAAGUCGAGCGGAUGAAGGGAGCUUGCUCCUGGAUUCAGCGGCGGACGGGUGAGUAAUGCCUAGGAAUCUGCCUGGUAGUGGGGGAUAACGUCCGGAAACGGGCGCUAAUACCACAUACGUCAUGAGGGAGAAAGUGGGGGUUCUUCGGACCUCACGCUAUCAGAUGAGCCUAGGUCGGAUUAGCUAGUUGGUGGGGUAAAGGCCUACCAAGGCGACGAUCCGUAACUGGUCUGAGAGGAUGAUCAGUCACACGGGAACGGGGAAAGGGUCCGGACUCCUACGGGAGGCAGAGGUGGGGAAUAUUGGACAAUGGGCGAAAGCCUGAUGCAGCCAUGCGGCGUGUGUGAGGAAGGUCUUCGGAUGGUAAAGCACUUUAAGUUGGGAGGAAGGGCAGUAAGGUGAAACCUUGCUGUUUUGACGGUACCAACAGAGAAAGCACCGGCUAACUACGUG
rnacentral:rRNA from 1 species